rnacentral:rRNA from 1 species
CCUACGGGAGGCAGCAGUAGGGAAUCUUUCACAAUGGGCGAAAGCCUGAUGGAGCAACGCCGCGUGCAGGAUGAAGGCCUUCGGGUUGUAAACUGCUUUUAUAAGCGAGAAAUAUGAUGGUAACUUAUGAAUAAGGAUCGGCUAACUCCGUGCCAGCAGCCGCGGUCAUACGUAGGAUCCGCGCAUUAUCCGGAGUGACUGGGUGUAAAGAGUUGCGUAGGUGGCAUAAGAAGUAGCUAGUGAAAUCUGGUGGCUCAACCAUUCAGACUAUUAGCUAAACUGUUAAGCUCGAGACCGUUAGGGGUAACUGGAAUUUCUAGUGUAGGAGUGAAAUCCGUAGAUAUUAGAAGGAACACCAAUAGCGUAGGCAGGUUGCUGGGACGGUUCUGACACUAAGGCACGAAAGCGUAGGGAGCAAACGGGAUUAGAUACCCCGGUAGUC